GAUGAACGCUGGCGGCGUGCCUAAUACAUGCAAGUCGAGCGAACAUACUAGGAGCUUGCUCCUCUGACGUUAGCGGCGGACGGGUGAGUAACACGUGGAUAACCUACCUAUAAGACUGGGAUAACUUCGGGAAACCGGAGCUAAUACCGGAUAAUAUAUUGAACCGCAUGGUUCAAUAGUGAAAGACGGUUUUGCUGUCACUUAUAGAUGUAUCCGCGCCGCAUUAGCUAGUUGGUAAGGUAACGGCUUACCAAGGCGACGAUGCGUAGCCGACCUGAGAGGGUGAUCGGCCACACUGGAACUGAGACACGGUCCAGACUCCUACGGGAGGCAGCAGUAGGGAAUCUUCCGCAAUGGGCGAAAGCCUGACGGAGCAACGCCGCGUGAGUGAUGAAGGUCUUCGGAUCGUAAAACUCUGUUAUUAGGGAAGAACAAAUGUGUAAGUAACUAUGCACGUCUUGACGGUACCUAAUCAGAAAGCCACGGCUAACUACGUG
rnacentral:rRNA from 1 species